GAUGAACGCUGGCGGCGUGCCUAAUACAUGCAAGUCGAGCGAAGCGGGGGCGGGGGAGUAACACGUGGGUAACCUCCUAUAAGACUGGGAUAACCUCGGGAAACCGGAGCUUAAACGGAUACUUAGAGAUGGAUCCGCGGUGCAUUAGCUAGUUGGUAAGGUAACGGCUUACCAAGGCCACGAUGCAUAGCCGAUCUGAGAGGGUGAUCGGCCACACUGGGACUGAGACACGGUCCAGACUCCUACGGGAGGCAGCAGUAGGGAAUCUUCCGCAAUGGGCGAAAGCCUGACGCAGCCACGCCGCGUGAGUGAUGAAGGUCUUCGGAUCGUAAAACUCUGUUAUUAGGGAAGCGGUACCUACUCAGAAAGCAACGGCUAACUACGUGCCAGCAGCCGCGGUAAUAC
rnacentral:rRNA from 1 species